UAAGACGUAGGAGGCGAGCGUUAUCCGGAUUUACUGGGCGUAAAGCGCAUGUAGGCGGUUCGCUAAGUCCGCGGUUAAAGCCCCCGGCUCAACUGGGGGAGGUCCGUGGAGACUAUCGGACUUGAGGGCAACAGAGGCACGUGGAACUCCCGGUGUAGCGGUGGAAUGCGUAGAGAUCGGGAAGAACACCAGUGGCGAAGGCGACGUGCUGGGUUGCAACUGACGCUGAGAUGCGAAAGUGUGGGGAGCAAACGGGAUUAGAUACCCCGGUAGUCCACACUGUAAACGAUGAACCCUGGGUGUGGGGCGGUAAAACGCUCCGUGCCGAAGCCAACGCGUUAAGGGUUCCGCCUGGGGACUAUGAGCGCAAGCUUAAAACUUAAAUGAAUUGACGG
rnacentral:rRNA from 1 species